UGGUUGUCUUCCAUUUAGUUGACGGCAUGCAAGACUGGUCUGAUGCAUCUACUGCUUGUUGACUUGGUUAUAUUUAUCUAUAAAGUGGCAGUGGUGCAGAAUAUAUCCUCUGCCAUGGAAGGAGGUAUUUGAUGCUGUCAGAUGGCAUAUAGGUCAAUAAUGAGGUGACUGCCGGGGUAAUCUCAGGAAGGGACAACGACACAAAUUAACUUUGUUGACAAGCUCACGAUCACGGGGAACAAGCCGUCCUGCAGUGUUUCCAUGUACUGCAAGUUGACGACAAGUUCAUUGUUGAUGCCAUGUAAUUUCUUACAAAAAUACAUGUGGUACAGGUAAGCAUGCUAUUACCCACCAUUGUGUGUGUUUUGCAUAUUUUCCUAUUCAAUACUAUGAAGUUUUCCUCUGUUAUGCUCUUCUCAGGUAUGAAGGCCGACACUGAUUAUCAAGUGGUUUAUUUGAAGAAUUAUAUAUAUUUAUUGAUACAACAUCUUCCAGUAUAGAUCUUAAAUGACAUCAAUAUCUGAAGUUACUUGUGUCUGCUUCCCCUCUUGAAAUCAACAUUUUGUUUUGAUUUUUCGGUACUUAAGUAAGGUCACUCAUCAGUGAGCAGGAAGUGUCUUCUCGGUACUUGUGUGAUGAAGGCCAAAAUUGGUUUUCUAACUUAUUAUUGUAGGUGCUUUAGAAAGUGCAAGUAUGUGUCACAAUAAUGCCUGGAAAUCAGCCAGUGGCUGGAUUAUUUGAGCUAUUUUGGCGUCUUUGCCAUCCUAUAGUUGUUCAUUUUUCUCUUUUGAAACGAGGCUAUCUAGAGGAUUUCAUGUUGUGGUUUAGGAAGUCCCAUGUGCAUACUUUUUGCAGGCAUCAGUGAAGAUUGGGAGGUAGAGAGGGAUUGCUCAAGUGGAAACAGAUCAAGAACCAGAAGGAGCUCAAGAUUUCGCUACUUCCUUGAUAAUAGCUUUGUGAGAUCAGUUAAAUAUUAUCCAGGACCAUGCACCCGCCCUUGACAAUGGCUUCCAGAAGCUAAGGUUGCAGGGGUGAAUUAAAGUUCGAUUUUCCAGCAGCGAGGUAACUACUACCGAUGGAGAUCAAACUAAUGAGGUCAUGAAAAAAAACUAUAGACAUCAAACACCGAAGGAGGUUAGUUUUUACCUGAGUGGAAACA